GACGAACGCUGGCGGCGUGCUUAACACAUGCAAGUCGAACGGAAAGGCCCUGCUUUUGUGGGUGCUCGAGUGGCGAACGGGUGAGUAACACGUGAGUAACCUGCCCUUGACUUUGGGAUAACUUCAGGAAACUGGGGCUAAUACCGGAUAGGAGCUCCUGCUGCAUGGUGGGGGUUGGAAAGUUUCGGCGGUUGGGGAUGGACUCGCGGCUUAUCAGCUUGUUGGUGGGGUAGUGGCUUACCAAGGCUUUGACGGGUAGCCGGCCUGAGAGGGUGACCGGCCACAUUGGGACUGAGAUACGGCCCAGACUCCUACGGGAGGCAGCAGUGGGGAAUAUUGCACAAUGGGCGGAAGCCUGAUGCAGCAACGCCGCGUGCGAGAUGACGGCCUUCGGGUUGUAAACCGCUUUCGCCUGUGACGAAGCGUGAGUGACGGUAAUGGGUAAAGAAGCACCGGCUAACUACGUG
rnacentral:rRNA from 1 species